rnacentral:rRNA from 1 species
CCUACGGGUGGCUGCAGUGGGGAAUUUUGGACAAUGGGCGCAAGCCUGAUCCAGCCAUGCCGCGUGGGUGAAGAAGGCCUUCGGGUUGUAAAGCCCUUUCGGCCGGGAAGAAAACGUGCGGGCGAACAGUCUGCAUGGAUGACGGUACCGGAAGAAGAAGCACCGGCUAACUACGUGCCAGCAGCCGCGGUAAUACGUAGGGUGCGAGCGUUAAUCGGAAUUAUUGCGCGUAAAGCGUGAACAGGCGGCGGAAAUCCCCGGGCUUAACCUGGGAACUGCGGUUGUGACUGUGGUGCUAGAGUACGGCAGAGGGAGGUGGAAUUCCUGGUGUAGCAGUGAAAUGCGUAGAGAUCAGGAGGAACACCGAUGGCGAAGGCAGCCUCCUGGGCUGAUACUGACGCUCAUGCACGAAAGCGUGGGGAGCAAACAGGAUUAGAUACCCCGGUAGUC